rnacentral:lncRNA from 1 species
GCUGACUCUCUUUUCGGACUCAGCCCGCCUGCACCCAGGUGAAAUAAACAGCCUUGUUGCUCACACAAAGCCUGUUUGGUGGUCUCUUCACACAAACGCGCAUGAAAUUUGGUGCCAUGACUCGGAUCGGGGUACCUCCCUUGGGAGAUCAAUCCCCAGUCCUCCUGCUCUUUGCUCCGUGAGAAAGAUCUACCUAGGACCUCAGGUCCUCAGACUGACCAGCCCAAGGAACAUCUCACCAAUUUCAAAUCUGGACCCCACUGAAAAUCGGACUGUUCAACUCAUCUGGCAGCCACUCCCAGAGCCCCUGGAACUCUGGCCCAAGCCUCUCUGACUGACUCCUUCCCAGAUCUUCUCGGCUUAGCAGCUGAAGACUGACACUGCCCAAUCGCCUUGGAAGCCCCCUAGACCAUCACGGAUGCCGAGCUUCGAGUAACUCUCACAGUGGAGGGAACGCGCAUGAAAAAACCAAACAAACAAAAAAAUUUCUUUUGGUAGCAGAAUAAAAAAACAAAAAAAAGGACUUUUUCUUCUGGACUGAACUAUAUUUAAAUCUCAAAGGAUGGACAUCUCACAACCUUCCUACAGCAAGUACUGUGAGAACUCAAAGGGGGAGAGAAAAAGACGAAAAAUAUCUUCAAAGAGGAGAACAAAUCUGAUCUUUCUCUACGUCUGCUUAGUUGGCGUAACUUUAGGAUGUCCAUAAGUUGUAGCUUUCCUGGGAAAAUUUGAUUUUACACUGGUUAUCCCAACAUAAUAUUAAUGGUAUCCUCUUAGACUCUCAAUAGUGUCCGGUUUGGAUGACAAAUUCUGUGGUCUUUUUAGCCAACUGCUACUGAAGUGGUCAGAUUUAUUGCACAAAAUAUAUUUUUAAAAAUAAGUAGCACAAGAUGAAAUAUGGCCUCAAAUUUCUUGGUUAGUUUCCACUAGAAAGUUUUAAACAUUAAAAAGUACAAAAUUCAUUACAUUUAUUGAAUGAUAAAGUAUAACAUUGUAUGAAGUUGAUGACUAUUAAAACUAUUUGAGUGUUUAAGUUUUGUCAGGUUCUCUUUGGUGAUGUCAGUUAAGUGUCUUUCAUUAAUUCUUAUAUGCCUCACUUUUCCUGUAAAUAACUUAUUAACCACCCACUACUUUUUUUCUGACUGAUUAAAUGGUAUAAAUGUCGAGAAAAACAACAUGAAUGACAUAAAUGCCAAGAAUCAGUUGAAAUGUAAAAAUAUAUUUAAUACAGAGGUUCUGUUUAUGACUCCUUAAAACAUACUUAAGGAAGCACACAGUUAACUAAUAACAGCAAUUAACUAGGAUUGGUAGAAAACCUUUAUUUUCUUAUUCUAUAGUCCAUUUGUGAGGAGCUUAAUAUAAGAAAGUUAGUAGGUCAAACUAAUAAUAGGGCAAAGUACUGUUCCAAGAACUUGUCUAAUGAUGUUCCAGUGCCAAAAAUGCUCUGAAAAAUUGAGAUAAUUGAAGUCUUUGAUCAGAAGGGUGUAAAAUAAUGUUGGAAAUAAUCAAGUGAAGAUGUAAAGCUAUGACUCGGUUUCCCAUGCUGAGCAUGUUAACAUUCUUCACUGUUUCUUCUUGCAUGCUGUACAUGGCCGACAUUUUUCAAAGUAAUGAGAAACACUAUUUGGUGAAGUUCUUUUCAUCUUUGCUGUCCACAUGUAUCACUCCCAUCCAAAAGUUGCAGUUGCAUUUAGCAGUUGCAAAGGAAAGGAUUUUCUCACGUAGGCAUGGAUACUUGAAGGGGCUG